rnacentral:lncRNA from 1 species
AUGGAGGCAACGCAAGCCCCAGCCAGCCCAGCGCUGCAGGCUCACAACCCCUUGCAGCAGGAUGUGCCCCAGCAAGCCCUGCACGGCUCCUGGGAGCCGGAGGGCUCUCCUGCAGCCAGAGAGGAAAAACCCAGAGCAUCCCCGCAUGGGAGAGCUCGGCUCCACGGCUCUCAGCGCACCUGGAACGGGCGCAGCUCAGCGCAGGGGAUGGGGCACAACACGGGGCUGCUGCCUGCGAGCUUCCGCCGCAGGAAAACCGCUCGCAGGGCUCGGCACAGCACAGAGCACAACUUCCCCACCGAGACGGGAAGUCAGCACGGGUCGGGCUGCACGUCCCAUGCAGCAGCCGGAGCCCCGGGGCAGACGGGCUGCAGUGCAAUGAGCCCACCCCGUUACAAGCACCGAGUUUCUUUAAGCGAACCGAAUCAGCCGUUCAGCUCAUCAAAGCACACAGCAACACCGGCACGAAACACGCUGCGGAUCAGCUCCUUUUCCCUUUCCAAGGAGCGUUUCCAGCCCCAAGGAAUAAAGACGGAGAGCCGCCAUGAUCCGCCCCCCACACCCGGCUCGCUCCGCUCGGUGCCCGCACACGCAGCUCUGAGCCCCGCAGACAGAGCCGGGGUUAUGGGGGGGGGGGGAGGGGGCUGCAACCGGAUCCCAGCGCGGCCCCGCUCCGUGUGCGCCGCGUCCCCCCGCACAGCUGCGGCAACGGGAAACGGCACGGGGCGGGGGAUCCUCAGCCCGCAGCCCCCGGCCGUGCCACCCACCCACCCACCAACGGCGCUGGUUGCGUUGCUUGUUUUUUUUGCCCUAUUUUUCGCUUUAUUUUCCCUAUUUUCUCCCCGUCCUUCGCUCCGGUACACGAACACCGCUCGUUCGCUGUGCGCACAAAGGCCGCUCCCGGCCGCGAUACCCGCGGGGACACGGGAUGGGAAGCGGAAAUCGCCGCUCGGCGCCGCUUUGUUCCCCCCCACCCCAGCCGGGACCCCCCAAACACCGGGACCCCCCCCAUAA